rnacentral:rRNA from 1 species
AUUACAGAGUUCAUGCCCUUCGGGGUAUGUCUCCCACCCGUGUCAUCGCACCUUUGUUGCUUUGGCGGGCCCGCCUCGGCCACAGGCUCCGGUUGGGGAGCGCCCGCCAGAGGACCCCAAACUCUGAAAUUUAAUGUCGUCUGAUUACUAUAUAAUAUUUAAAACUUUCAACAACGGAUCUCUUGGUUCUGGCAUCGAUGAAAAACGCAAUUAAAUGCGAUAAGUAAUGUGAAUUGCAUAAUUCAGUGAAUCAUCGAAUCUUUGAACGCACAUUGCGCCCCUNGGUAUUCCGGGGGGCAUGCCUGUUCGAGCGUCAUUACAACCCUCAAGCUCUGCUUGGUAUUGGGCGUCCCCGGCGACGGGGUGCCCUAAAAUCAGUGGCGGUGCCGUCUGGCUCUAAGCGUAGUAAAUCUCUCGCUCUGGAUGCCCGGUGGAUGCUCGCCAGAACCCCCCAUUUUUUACAGGUUGACCUCGGAUCAGGUAGGGAUACCCGCUGAACUUAAUCAUAUCAAUA